rnacentral:rRNA from 1 species
AACGAACGCUGGCGGCAGGCCUAACACAUGCAAGUCGAGCGCGCCCUUCGGGGUGAGCGGCGGACGGGUGAGUAACGCGUGGGAACGUGCCCUUUUCUACGGAAUAGCCUCGGGAAACUGAGAGUAAUACCGUAUACGCCCUUUGGGGGAAAGAUUUAUCGGAAAAGGAUCGGCCCGCGUUGGAUUAGGUAGUUGGUGGGGUAAUGGCCUACCAAGCCGACGAUCCAUAGCUGGUUUGAGAGGAUGAUCAGCCAUACUGGGACUGAGACACGGCCCAGACUCCUACGGGAGGCAGCAGUGGGGAAUCUUAGACAAUGGGGGCAACCCUGAUCUAGCCAUGCCGCGUGAGUGAUGAAGGCCUUAGGGUUGUAAAGCUCUUUCAGCUGGGAAGAUAAUGACGGUACCAGCAGAAGAAGCCCCGGCUAACUCCGUG